AAAGGUAAAAUUAGGAUAUUAUUAUGUAUGAAGUAAUUAUAAUUGAGGCUAAAAAAGUUUAGAAAUAAACUAGGAUUAGAUACCCUAUUAUUCUAAAAUAAAUUUAAUAUAAAACUGAAUUAGUAAAAGAUAAAUACUUAAAAUUUAAAAAAUUUGGCGGCAAUUUAAUCUAUUCAGAGGAACCUGUUUUAGAAUCGAUAAACCACGAAAAAUCUUACUUGAGUUUGUAUACCAUCAUUAUCAGAUAAUUCUUAAAGGAAAAAUUAUUAAAUUUAGUUGUUUAGUAAAAUUAGAUCAUGGUGCAGCCAAUAAGCAAGGUAAAAUGGGUUACAGUAAAUUACUUUACUGCGGAUUAAUAAUUAUAAAGAUGGAUUUGAUUGUAUUUUAGUUUAAUAAGCUAAUAAGAUAUAAGUUCUAAAUUGUGUACAUAUCGCCCGUCGCUUUC
rnacentral:rRNA from 1 species